rnacentral:rRNA from 1 species
GACGAACGCUGGCGGCGUGCUUAACACAUGCAAGUCGAACGGAAAGGCCCUGCUUUUGUGGGGUGCUCGAGUGGCGAACGGGUGAGUAACACGUGAGUAACCUGCCCUUUACUUUGGGAUAACUUCAGGAAACUGGGGCUAAUACCGGAUAGGAGCUCCUGCUGCAUGGUGGGGGUUGGAAAGUUUCGGCGGUUGGGGAUGGACUCGCGGCUUAUCAGCUUGUUGGUGGGGUAGUGGCUUACCAAGGCUUUGACGGGAAGCCGGCCUGAGAGGGUGACCGGCCACAUUGGGACUGAGCUACGGCCCAGACUCCUACGGGAGGCAGCAGUGGGGAAUAUUGCACAAUGGGCGGAAGCCUGAUGCAGCAACGCCGCGUGCGGGAUGACGGCAUUCGGGUUGUAAACCGCUUUCGCCUGUGACGAAGCGUGAGUGACGGUAAUGGGUAAAGAAGCACCGGCUAACUACGUG